UGGGGAAUAUUGCACAAUGGGGGGAACCCUGAUGCAGCGACGCCGCGUGAGUGAAGAAGUCAUUCGUGAUGUAAAGCUCUAUCAGCAGGGAAGAAAGAAGACGGUACCUGAGUAAGAAGCCCCGGCUAACUACGUGCCAGCAGCCGCGGUAAUACGUAGGGGGCAAGCGUUAUCCGGAUUUACUGGGUGUAAAGGGAGCGUAGACGGCAGAGCAAGUCCGGAGUGAAAGCCCGGGGCCCAACCCCGGGACUGCUCUGGAAACUGUUAAGCUGGAGUGCGGGAGGGGCAGGCGGAAUUCCUGGU
rnacentral:rRNA from 1 species